AUACGGAGGACGCGAGCGUUAUCCGGAUUCAUUGGGUUUAAAGGGUGCGCAGGCGGCCGUGCAAGUCAGCGGUGAAAGCCCGGGGCUCAACCCCGGAAGUGCCGUUGAUACUGCAUGGCUGGAAUGCGGUCGAGGCGGGCGGAACGUGGCGUGUAGCGGGGAAAUGCGGAGAUAUGCCACAGAACGCCGAUAGCGGGGGCAGCGCGCCAGGCCUGCAUUGACGCUCGGGCACGAAAGCGUGGGGAUCGAACAGGAUUAGAUACCCUGGUAGUCCACGCCGUAAACGAUGGGCGCUCGUCGUCGGCGGCAGACAGUCGGCGGCCAAGCGAAAGCGAUAAGCGCCCCACCUGGGGAGUACGGUCGCAAGGCUGAAACUUAAAGGAAUUGACGGGG
rnacentral:rRNA from 1 species